rnacentral:rRNA from 1 species
GACGAACGCUGGCGGCGUGCCUAAUACAUGCAAGUAGAACGCAGUUGCGAAAGGGUGAGUAUCGCGUAGGCAACUGCCUCCUAGCGGGGGAUAACUAUUGGAAACGAUAGCUAAUACCGCAUACUGUGAGAUGGACCUGCGUUGUAUUAGUUAGUUGGUGAGUUAAAGGCUCACAAAGGCGACGAUACAUAGCCGACCUGAGAGGGUGAUCGGCCACCCUGGGACUGAGACACGGCCCAGACUCCUACGGGAGGCAGCAGUAGGGAAUCUUCGGCAAUGGACGGAAGUCUAACCGAGCAACGCCGCGUGAGUGAAGAAGGUUUUCGGAUCGUAAGGCGCUGUUGUUAGAGAAGCGGUAACGAACCAGAAAGGGACGGCUAACUACGUGCCAGAGCCGCGGUAAUUC